GUGCUUGAUUUGGCAGCACAUAUACUAAAAUUGGAACAAUACAAAGAAGAUUAACAUGGCUCUUGUGCAAGGAUGACAUGCAAAUUUGUGAAGUUACAUAUUUUUUC